GAUGAACGCUAGCGGCAGGCUUAACACAUGCAAGUCGAGGGGCAGCGCGAGGUAGCAAUACUUUGGCGGCGACCGGCGAAAGGGUGAGUAACGCGUGAGCAACAUGCCCGUUGCAGGGGGAUAGUCGAUGGAAACGUCGCGUAAUACCCCGUAACAUCAGUUAUCGCAUGGUGAUUGAUUGAAAGAUUUAUUGGCGACGGAUUGGCUCGCGUACCAUUAGCUAGUUGGUGGGGUAACGGCCCACCAAGGCGACGAUGGUUAGGGGUUCUGAGAGGAAGGUCCCCCACAUUGGAACUGAGACACGGUCCAGACUCC
rnacentral:rRNA from 1 species